UACGUAGGUGGCGAGCGUUAUCCGGAAUUACUGGGCGUAAAGCGCACGCAGGCGGCUCUUUAAGUUUGACGUGAAAGCUCCCGGCUUAACUGGGAGAGGUCGUUGAAGACUGGGGGGCUUGAGGCAAUGAGAGGGGUGUAGAAUUCCCGGUGUAGUGGUGGAAUGCGUAGAUAUCGGGAGGAAUACCAGUGGCGAAAGCGGCACCCUAGCAUUAGCCUGACGCUCAUGUGCGAAAGCGUGGGGAGCAAACGGG
rnacentral:rRNA from 1 species